rnacentral:rRNA from 1 species
AACGAACGCUGGCGGCAGGCUUAACACAUGCAAGUCGAACGCCCCGCAAGGGGAGUGGCAGCCGGGUGAGUAACGCGUGGGAACAUACCCUUUUCUACGGAAUAGCUCUGGGAAACUGGAAUUAAUACCGUAUACGCCCUACGGGGGAAAGAUUUAUCGGGGAAGGAUUGGCCCGCGUUGGAUUAGCUAGUUGGUGGGGUAAAGGCCUACCAAGGCGACGAUCCAUAGCUGGUCUGAGAGGAUGAUCAGCCACAUUGGGACUGAGACACGGCCCAAACUCCUACGGGAGGCAGCAGUGGGGAAUAUUGGACAAUGGGCGCAAGCCUGAUCCAGCCAUGCCGCGUGAGUGAUGAAGGCCUUAGGGUUGUAAAGCUCUUUCACCGAUGAAGAUAAUGACGGUAGACGGAGAAGAAGCCCCGGCUAACUUCGUG